rnacentral:rRNA from 1 species
GACGAACGCUGGCGGCGUGCUUAACACAUGCAAGUCAAGGGGGCCCGCAAGGGCAACCGGCGAACGGGUGCGUAACACGUGAGCAACCUGCCUUGUUGCGGGGGAUAGCCGGCCCAACGGCCGGGUAAUACCGCAUACGUUCAUGGAGCGGAGUCGCUCUGUGAGGAAACUUCCGGGGCAACAAGAGGGGCUCGCGGCCUAUCAGCUAGUUGGCGGGGUAACGGCCACCAAGGCGACGACGGGUAGCUGGUCUGAGAGGAUGGCCAGCCACAUUGGGACUGAGAGACGGCCCAGACUCCUACGGGAGGCAGCAGUGGGGAAUCUUGCGCAAUGGCCGAAAGGCUGACGCAGCGACGCCGCGUGUGGGAGGACGCCCUUCGGGGUGUAAACCACUGUUGCCCGGGACGAAUGACCCUUUCGAGGGGAGUGACGGUACCGGGUGAGGAAGCACCGGCUAACUCCGUGCCAGCCGCCGCCGUA